rnacentral:rRNA from 1 species
AGUGAACGCUGGCGGUAGGCCUAACACAUGCAAGUCGAACGGCAGCACAGUAAGAGCGUGCUCUUACGGGUGGCGAGUGGCGGACGUGUGAGGAAUAUAUCGGAAUCUACUUUUUCGUGUGGGAUCACGUAGGGAAACUUACUCUAAUACCGCAUACGACCUACGGGUGAAAGCAUGGGAUCUUCGGACCUUGCGGGAUUGGAUGGGCCGGUGGCUGAUUAGCUAGUUGGCGGGGUAGAGGCCCAGCAAGGCGACGAUGGGUAGCUGGCCUGAGAGGGUGGCCGGGCACAUGGGGACUGAGGUACGGCCCAGACUGGUAUGGGAGGCAGCAGUGGGGAGUAUUGCACAACGGGCGGAAGCGUGAUGCAGAGACGCCGCGUGCGGGAAGCCGGCUUUUGGGGUGUAAACAGCUUUCGGCUGUGACGAAGCGUGAGUGACGGUAAUGGGUAAAGAAGCACCGGCUAACUACGUG